GAUGAACGCUGGCGGCGUGCCUAAUACAUGCCAGUCGAGCGAACGGACGAGAAGCUUGCUUCUCUGAUGUUAGCGGCGGACGGGUGAGUAACACGUGGAUAACCUACCUAUAAGACUGGGAUAACUUCGGGAAACCGGAGCUAAUACCGGAUAAUAUUUUGAACCGCAUGGUUCAAAAGUGAAAGACGGUCUUGCUGCCACUUAUAGAUGGAUCCGCGCUGCAUUAGCUAGUUGGUAAGGUAACGGCUUACCAAGGCAACGAUGCAUAGCCGACCUGAGAGGGUGAUCGGCCACACUGGAACUGAGACACGGUCCAGACUCCUACGGGAGGCAGCAGUAGGGAAUCUUCCGCAAUGGGCGAAAGCCUGACGGAGCAACGCCGCGUGAGUGAUGAAGGUCUUCGGAUCGUAAAACUCUGUUAUUAGGGAAGAACAUAUGUGUAAGUAACUGUGCACAUCUUGACGGUACCUAAUCAGAAAGCCACGGCUAACUACGUG
rnacentral:rRNA from 1 species